rnacentral:rRNA from 1 species
AACUCUUGACAUCCAGAGAAGAGGCUAGAGAUAGCUUUGUGCCUUCGGGAGCUCUGAGAC